rnacentral:misc_RNA from 1 species
GGAAAUUCCAAUCUUUUUUGGGCUGAGCGUUAUGGGAAACAAUUCCUAGGCAUGAAUGAUUUGUGGGUCAAACAUUGUGGAAUCAGCCACACCGGUAGCUUCAAGGAUCUUGGCAUGACCGUAUUGGUGAGUCAAGUAAAUCGGUUGCGGAAAAUGCAUAAACCAGUUGUGGGUGUUGGCUGUGCUUCCACUGGAGACACGUCUGCUGCGCUGUCAGCUUACUGUGCAUCUGCAGGCAUU